AAGAAUGCAUCUGCUGGUGUCGAGCGGCUCCUCAUCGGCAACAAGUGCGACAUGGAGAGCAAGCGCAAAGUGCAGCGGGACGCCGCCGAGAAGGUAGGGUGGGGGCACGAGCCCCCCCGGCCGUGGGGCAGGGCUGUGGGGCCGUGUCCCCCCUUCCCACGCGGCGUCCCCUCGUCCUCCAGCUGGCCAAGGAGCACGGGAUCCGCUUCUUCGAGACCAGUGCCAAGUCCAGCGUGAACGUGGAGGAGGUGAGAGGCACGGGGGGGGGCCGCUGCCCCCCAUGGUGGGGGUGGUGUCGGGGGGGUCCCCGUGCCAGGGGCAGCCCCCACUGACCCCCCCCUCUCCCCAUAGGCCUUCAGCACGCUGGCGCGGGACAUCCUGCAGAAAUCAACCCGAAAAGCGGUCCCGAGCACCACCGCCACGGCCGGCUCGCUGCCGGAGCCCAGCGCCCCGCGGCGGGGCAGCUCCCGGUGCCGGCUGCUGUAGGGCCGCCACCGCCCCGGGGCAGCGCGGGCGCCUCUCCGGGAGCCGGGGGGGGGGCUGCAGCGGGGGCGACCCCGCACCAGGUGCCAUAAACCCGGCCUGUGCCUUGCCCCCGGCUCCGCUCCGUGUCUGGGGGACGGGGACGGGGGGGGGGGGGGAAGGGGGGGGCGGGGGGGCGGGGGGGGGGGGGACGCGGCCACGUGGGGGCGCGCCGGCGGGCCGGGAAGCCCCGCCCCUUGGUGCUAAGCCCCGCCCCCUUUGAGCUAAGCCCCGCCCCCGGAUGGAGGCCACGCCCCCUGACGAAAGCCACGCCCCUUCGGGUAACGCCACGCCCCCUUGGCGCCAACCCGCGCUGCUCGGACCGAGGCCACGCCCAUCCGCGCUAAGCCACGCCCCCUCGUGCCGAGCCCGCGCCCCUUGGCGCCAAGCCGCAUUCCUGGGCUCGAGGCCACGCCCAUCGGUUCGAAGCCACGCCCCCUCAGCGCGAAGCCACGGCCCUCGCAGAGCCGCGCCCGAACCCCGCCCUGCGCUGAGGCCACGCCCCCUCAGCCACGAGCCACGCCUC
rnacentral:lncRNA from 1 species